rnacentral:sRNA from 1 species
CAGUAAUAAUGGAUUCAAGGUAUCAAAUACGCAUGCUUGCAUGCAAGGAUUUGAUACUUUGAAGACUAAACGGACAUGAGGAAAAAAGGCAUUUUACAAAGUAAAAUGACGAUUUCCGAAUGUACGCCGGAUUGCGAGAACGAAGUGUAGCAAUCCGAGUUACUG